GUAUGGAUCAUUACCGUUUUUGAUUGAUGAUUUUAUUCAAUCAUAAACAAAAUUUUAACUUCGCACAAUCUCAUGUAUAUAUAUAUACACAUAUGUAUGUAUGUAUGUAUGUGUGGUUGUGUCGCACCAUUAUGUAAAUAACAAGACAUAACAUGAAACUCUUUUCAUUGUUAUUGUCUUGUUUUAAACCUUUCCAUUCAACAAAUCAUUGUUGUUUGUCAUUGAAUAUGAAUCGAAUAUAUAUAUAUAUACAGAAUAAUAAAUAAUUCUGUACGGUGGAUCACUCGGCUCGUUAUUCGAUGAAGAGCGCAGCAAAGUGCGAGAAAGCAAUGCGAAUUGCAGGACACAUUGAGCAUGAAUAACUCGAACGCAUCUAGCAGCCAAGACAUUAGUCGAGGCUAAAUUUGCUUCAGUCUUGUUUACAUAACAUCAAAUUCAUUUAUUUUAAAAUGAAUGAAUUGCUGGCAAGUUCGAUAUAAUAUAUCUAGCUUGCAAUACAUAUAUAUAUAAAAUACUUCAUUAUAUUUUAUAUAAUGUUGUAUACGUAUAAAACGGAGUUAUACACAUACACAAAAAAUAAUUUUAUUGUGUAAACUGUCAUAACAUGAGAAAUCUUUAUCAUAUCCAUGUUAUUGAUAGAAGACAAUAGAAUAUAUGUGUGUAUAUAUAAAUGAAAUAUUAUUCAUUAUUUCAAGCUGAAGUCAAAUUAGAAUACUUGCUGAACUUAAGCAUAUUAAUAAGCAAAGGAAAAGAAAUCAACUGAGAUUGCCUUAGUAAUAGCGAAUGAACCGGCAAAAGCUCAUUGCUGAAGCGUGUUAAAUUCACUUUUGACAUGCAUUGUAGCAUUUGGGGUGACUAUUGUAUGGUACCUAUUCGUGUGAGUUCCUUUGAUCAGGGCUUUAACCAUAGAAGGUGCUAGUCCUAUAAUCACGAAUAGUUUUGUGCUGUACAUUGUACACCUUUCGAGUAGCGUAGUUUGAGAUUGCUACGCCAACGUGGGACGUAAACUUGUUCCAAAGCUAAAUAUUAUAACGAGACCGAUAGCGAACAAGUACCGUGAGGGAAAGUUGAAAAGCACUCUGAAGAGAGAGUUAAAUAGUACGUAAAACCGUACAGAAGAAAACGAAUGGCCGCAUUCAUCAGAUUACUUUGAAUUCAAUUCGAUCUCUAUAUGAUGGUAAUACAUGUCGAUUUGGAACUUCAACAGUCCAUCGAUUUGUUCUUGCCUAGAGUCGGAUGCAUUUUCAAAGUAUUAACUGAACCUGGAUCUAUAACAUUGAAAGCUAGUCGAAUCAGUCUAUUUUGGUAGCGAGUUUUACUCGUGUUAAAAAUAUGACUUGCAUAAAUAACAAAUUCGACUUGGCGUUAUAGGUAAAUAGACAUGUUCUUUGAUUUCAGUACUUUCUCUAGUACGGCAUGUCAUGAGCAUUGUUUGUGUCACAUGAGUAACUAAUAUCUAAACAAUAUUAGUUUUAUUCAUUGUCGAUGCCUAAUGUUUUGUGACUGUCAAUGAAAUCGGUAAGUCUACAGGAGUUUUGAAUGCCGAGUUAUUCGACCCGUCUUGAAACACGGUCUAAGGAGUUCACUGCAUGUGCAAGAGUUCGGCUGUAUGAAAAGCCUUGCUCGUAAUGAAAGUAAAGAACAUUCUUGCAAUGUUUUAAGUGUGAUUUCUGUCAUUUGGUGCAAAUCAUGACAAUGAACGCAACACUGACAGGUUCUAUUGCCGUUGGCAAAGAGCUUAGUAAGAGUAUAUGCAAUGAGACCCGAAAGAUGGUGAACUUAAUGUGUGUAGAAUGAAGCCAGGGGAAACCCUGGUGGAAGUUCGUAGCGGUUCUGACGUGCAAAUCGAUCGUCAAACAUGCAUUAAGGGGCGAAAGACUAAUCGAACCAUCUAGUAGCUGGUUCCGUC
rnacentral:misc_RNA from 1 species